CGGGGCGCGGUCACCUGGCCAGGAGAAGGGACGCGAGGUCUUUCGAGGAGCCACCCAGCAAGCAGUGAACUGGAACAGCCACCACCAAUGACCCCGUCGGGUGGCCCUGGGGGUGGCCUGGGCGGCGGGCAGGGCCAGCGGGCACAGCUAGCCCCCCCGAGUCGACGAGACGCCCCAGCUGCGGCCCCUCCAGGAGCAGGUGGCGAGUCUGGAGGCCAGGGCAGUAAGUACCAGUCCCACCAGCAUGGGACUCAGCAGACCAGUGGAACCGGCCGGCCUAGGGUCCAGCCCAAACAGGCCGCCCCUCCCUGCGCCGCCCACACACGGAUUGAGCCCACUGCCCCUGCCAGCCUGGCCCCACAGUCCCCGUGCCAGAGGACAUGGCUGCCCCGUGCCCCAGCUCCUAUCUGCUACAGGACCUGGUGAGUGGCCGUGUCCUCCCCUCCCCUUGGGCCAGGGGCUCUUCUGAGGGGCUGGACCCACCGUGCCCUGAAGAGCUGCUGUCUGGACCCAUCUCUCCUAUGGGAGCUGCCUCCCACCUGUCUGCUCAGAACUCUGCCUGCAGGUCACCCUGCGGCGGAGAAUCUGCUCCAGCAGGUGCAGGACCAUUUCCAGGCUCUCACGGUCACACUGGACCUCAGGAAUAUCCUUUCUCCAGAGCUCACCAGCGGUGUGUGUGUGUGUGUGUGUG